AUUGAACGCUGGCGGCAUGCCUUACACAUGCAAGUCGAACGCGAAAAGGGGGCAACCCCUGAGUAGAGUGGCGAACGGGUGAGUAAUACAUCGGAACGUGUCCAGUAGCGGGGGAUAACCUCUCGAAAGAGAGGCUAAUACCGCAUACGACCUACGGGUGAAAGAGGGGGAUCGCAAGACCUCUCACUAUUGGAGCGGUCGAUGUCGGAUUAGCUAGUUGGCGGGGUAACGGCCCACCAAGGCUACGAUCCGUAGCUGGUCUGAGAGGACGACCAGCCACACUGGAACUGAGACACGGUCCAGACUCCUACGGGAGGCAGCAGUGGGGAAUUUUGGACAAUGGGCGCAAGCCUGAUCCAGCCAUGCCGCGUGAGUGAAGAAGGCCU
rnacentral:rRNA from 1 species